rnacentral:rRNA from 1 species
GCGCAGCAGGCGAGAAUACUUUACAAUGUGCGAAAGCACGAUAAGGGAACUCUGAGUGCCUCCUAAGGAGGCUGUUCAGGUGUCUAAAAAGCACCUGGAGUAAGGGCUGGGUAAGACCGGUGCCAGCCGCCGCGGUAACACCGGCAGCCCAGGUGGUAGCCACUUUUAUUGGGUCUAAAGCGUCCGUAGCCGGUUGAGUAAGUUCCUUGGGAAAUUUGGCUGCUCAACAGUCAAGCUUCCAGGGAAUACUGCUCGACUUGGGACUGGGAGAGGUCAGAGGUACUCCAGGGGUAGGGGUGAAAUCCAUUAAUUCCUGGGGGACCACCGGUAGCGAAGGCGUCUGACCAGACCAGGUCCGACGGUGAGGGACGAAGGCUAGGGUCGCGAACCGGAUUAGAUA